rnacentral:rRNA from 1 species
UACGUAGGGGGCAAGCGUUGUUCGGAAUGACUGGGCGUAAAGGGUGCGUAGGCGGUGUAGCAAGUUAGAAGUGAAAUACCUAGAGCUUAACUCAGGUGCUGCUUCUAAAACUGCUAUACUUGAGUGCAGUAGAGGAAAGUGGAAUUCCUAGUGUAGCGGUGGAAUGCGUAGAUAUUAGGAGGAACAUCAGUGGCGAAGGCGACUUUCUGGACUGUAACUGACGUUGAAGCACGAAAGCGUGGGUAUCGAACAGG